rnacentral:tRNA from 1 species
CCUUCGAUAGCCCAGUUGGUAGAGCGGGAGGCUGUAGAUUUAUAUUUGUGAUCCGAAGGUUGCUGGUUUGAAUCCGGCUCGAAUAA